GAUGAACGCUAGCUACAGGCUUAACACAUGCAAGUCGAGGGGAAACGAUAUUGGAAGCUUGCUUCCGAUAGGCGUCGACCGGCGCACGGGUGAGUAACGCGUAUCCAACCUGCCCACCACUUGGGGAUAACCUUGCGAAAGUAAGACUAAUACCAAAUGAUAUCUCAAGAAGACAUCUGAAUGAGAUUAAAGAUUUAUCGGUGAUGGAUGGGGAUGCGUCUGAUUAGCUUGUUGGCGGGGUAACGGCCCACCAAGGCGACGAUCAGUAGGGGUUCUGAGAGGAAGGUCCCCCACAUUGGAACUGAGACACGGUCUAAACUCCUACGGGAGGCAGCAGUGAGGAAUAUUGGUCAAUGGGCGAGAGCCUGAACCAGCCAAGUAGCGUGCAGGAUGACGGCCCUAUGGGUUGUAAACUGCUUUUAUAAGGGAAUAAAGUGAGCCUCGUGAGGCUUUUUGCAUGUACCUUAUGAAUAAGGACCGGCUAAUUCCGUGCCAGCAGCCGCCGCAG
rnacentral:rRNA from 1 species